rnacentral:lncRNA from 1 species
GCAUGGAGCCUGCUUCUCCCUCUGCCUAUGUCUCUGCCUCUCUCUCUCUGUGUCUCUCAUGAAUAAAUAAAUAAAAUCUUAAAAAAAAAAAAGAUUUUAUUUAAAAAACUCCACCUAGGAGUCUAAAUAAAUAAAUAAAAUCUUUAUUUUUAAUUUUUUAAAAGAUUUUAUUUAUUUAUUCAUGAGAGACACACAGAGAGAGGCAUAGACACACAGGCAGAGGGAGAAGCAGGCUCCAUGCAGGGAGCCAGACGAGGGACAGCUGAGCCGAAGGUAGAUGCUCAACCACAGAGCCACCCAGGCGUCCCCCGCCCCCAAUUUUUUUUUUUGAGCCGAGGACUGUUGGUUAGGAGAGCGACUGAAAGCCAGAGCAUCUCAAAAGGUGGUACAGCAAGUGCAAAGACUAAUCAGGCAAGAAACGCUGGACUCGAAACCGGAGUUUGGAUUUGGAGCCUCUGGUCCGGGCUAUUCCUGCCUUUCUGGAGACGAUCAUCUAGUGUGGGAGCCAAUAAAUCAAUAAUGCCAAUAAAUCAAUGCAUAAAUUUAUUUGAUAAGUGAACAAUGCAAUAGAAGCCCCAAGGUGCUGCCCGUGAUCAGGAGACGUCUACUUCUGGAAUAGAAGGCUCUGCAGGGGUUCCGGGGAGGAAAAGAGCUGGUGGAAGAAAUGGAUUUGGAGCCCAUCCUUGGAGAACGCUCCAGUUGGGAUCAGCAGGGAAGGAGAAUAUAUACCAGCAGAAGGAAUGAGGAGGACGGUGGGAUUUCUACUUCUAGUAAUGAUGGGCUGUUAUUUGGACCAACGUUCCCACUGAAAGCAACUGCAAAUGCUUUACAAAAGACUUUUUAAAUCUCCUUAACAAUAUCACAAAUAGGGCAGCCCCGGUGGCGCAGCGGUUUAGCGCCGCCUGCAGCCCGGGCGUGAUCUUGGAGACCCUGGAUCGAGUCCCAGGUCAGGCUCUCUGCAUGGAGCCUGCUUCUCCCCCUGCCUGUGUCUCUGCCCCCCCCCCCGUCUCUAUGAAUAAAUAAAUAAAAUCUUUUAAAAAAACAAUAUCACAAAUAUGUGACAAGAGAGCUAUACAUUUCCAGGGCAAAGCCUAAGGGAAAGUGGGAUUCCCAGAAAGGCACUGGAAUAUAGGACAGAGGUAACCCAGAAUGCAGAAAAGAGAGGCAGAGAAAGAAAAGAAGUUGAGAGACAUGAAGGAUA